UUCCCCUUAACCUCUUAUUUAUGAAGUUCAAACGUGAACAGGGAGGUUACUUUGGUCAGAGGGUUUCGAGAAGCAAUUUGAUGUUUUUAGCUAAUCAUAGCUGCUAUGCUGGAGAUCUCCCCAUCAGCAAUUUUUAGUAUUUUUUGUGUUUUGAUUCUAUGCUGAUGCCAUGUAUCUUAUUUGAUGUGGGGUAAGGGGUUCUAAAUAGCUUAAGUUUAAUUUUUGUUUUUGUUCUGUUUAUCUUUCACUUAAGU
rnacentral:lncRNA from 1 species